GCGCGAAACCUCUGCAAUGCGCGAAAGCGCGACAGGGCCACCCCGAGUGCUAGGCGCUGAGUCUAGCUUUUCCUUAGUGUAGUGAGCUAGGGGAAUAAGCGGGGGGCAAGCCUGGUGUCAGCCGCCGCGGUAAUACCAGCUCCGCGAGUGGUCGGGACGAUUAUUGGGCCUAAAGCGUUCGUAGCCGGCCUUACAAGUCUCUGGUUAAAUUUCAAGGCUUAACCUUGAGCGUGCUGGAGAUACUGUUAGGCUAGGGGGCGGGAGAGGUUGAGGGUACUUCACGGGUAGGGGCGAAAUCCUAUAAUCCGUGAAGGACCACCAGUGGCGAAGGCGCUCAACUGGAACGCGCCCGAGGUGAGGGACGAAAGCCAGGGGA
rnacentral:rRNA from 1 species